GGGAACGGUACGCUCUAUACCCUUUGUGACAUACCUAUAACUGUUGCUUCGGCGGGUAGGGUCUCCGCGACCCUCCCGGCCUCCCGCCUCCGGGCGGGUCGGCGCCCGCCGGAGGAUAACCAAACUCUGAUUUAACGACGUUUCUUCUGAGUGGUACAAGCAAAUAAUCAAAACUUUUAACAACGGAUCUCUUGGUUCUGGCAUCGAUGAAGAACGCAGCGAAAUGCGAUAAGUAAUGUGAAUUGCAGAAUUCAGUGAAUCAUCGAAUCUUUGAACGCACAUUGCGCCCGCCAGCAUUCUGGCGGGCAUGCCUGUUCGAGCGUCAUUUCAACCCUCAAGCUCUGCUUGGUGUUGGGGCCCUACAGCUGAUGUAGGCCCUCAAAGGUAGUGGCGGACCCUCCCGGAGCCUCCUUUGCGUAGUAACUUUACGUCUCGCACUGGGAUCCGGAGGGACUCUUGCCGUAAAACCCCCCAAUUUUCCAAAGGUUGACCUCGGAUCAGGUAGGAAUACCCGCUGAACUUAAGCAUAUCAAUAAGCGGAGGAAAU
rnacentral:rRNA from 1 species